UGGCUGCUAUAGCACAGCCAGCCAAAGGUAGGUCUUGGCUGCGUUUUCCUGCGAGCUGCUUAGGAACUGGGGGUGUGCUGGGGAGGGGCCGGAAGGGACCCUGGAAUCAGGGAAGAUACGGGCAUGUAUCCUUCUGGCUGGGGCUUCUCCGAUUAGGCCAAGGAUCAGGUGCAUGGAAAGAACAGGCUGGGGAUGAGAUUGGUGAAGAAUUUCCCUUGGUGAGAGAAGAGGGAGGGGUCCACAGGACUGGCGGCUUGGAUCAGAUCCUCCAGUGAUGCCUAGAGUCUGGGGCUUCUGGAGGUCCCAGGUAAGGAGACAGCUCUGCUCCCUGGGGAGGAGUCUAUUAUGUCAAUUGCUGGGAAACACGGUUAGUUGAACUGACUAUUGCCCUGGCAUGUGGGGGGAGGGGGGGGGAGCGGGGGUACUGUUGUUAGGGAAACCAUGGAGAGGAAGGAAACAAAACGCUUUGGAUGGGUGCUGCACUCCCCUGGGUCCGCCUGCUGGGUGUUGAUUGGACAGCCCGCCCAGAAGAGGUUUCACGUUAUGCAGGCAACUGUUGUUGCCCAGAGAGCCCAGGGCUGCCUCGCUCCCUCGGGAGCUGAUGUUUCGGGAACCGUGGAAGCAGCUGGUUUAUGGAAGCGUCGAACAACGUGAGCUGCGGAAUCUGCCAGAUCCCAAACAGCUCUUGCCAAGCACCCUUUCUUCUAGAUUUCGAACUCAUCUGUGUUUCAAAAGCAAUUUUGUUUAAAUGGCUUAUCCCCCCUACUCCCAAUCUGUGGGAAGCUGCCACGCGCAGGCAGGAAAGGGACUCUCCAGGAUCCAUUCGCGACGGCUGCCGUGAGCCAGAACCCGGGGCUGAGGCCGCACAGGAGUCAAGGGCCCGCAUUCCUAGGAGGGGUUGGGGGGGGGGCGCCUUCAAGGGAACACAGAGGGCAGGUGUGUGGCUCCUCAGUCCCCUGGCUUAGGUCUCUAGGCAGAUAAUUUUGCAACUUUCAAUUCCUAACCCAGCCAGCAUUGUUUGUACUUGGGACAAGUCAUUCGAGCCUGGGGACUAGGAACACGUCAUGUAUUAUCUUCACUUCUCUAAGAAAGGUGUGGGGCUUCCCUUGAAUGAAUGAAUGAAUGAAUGGGCUUAUGGUGUCGGCCACUGGCAAAUUCUGUAGCUCCCUGCCCACCCAAGGACUUCUCCAAGGAGCCUCUGGGGGCUCCUUACAGGGAACCCGGUCCUGAGGACACACGUACCAUGUAGCCCUCCAUCACGCCGUCUUGUCCAGACCCUAGGGGUUCUGGAAGAGAGGGGGAAGAAAAACAACGCCUCCAGACAUUGGGCAAACCGCUGGCCUAAUUCAUUCACUAUGGCGACUUUUUCAUCCGUAGGCCCGGCACUGCUUGUGUAGUUGGGUCUGUGAAGGUUCCCUUUCAAGUAGGACAGCUGCUUGGCGUUCUGGGCUCACCAUGUGGAGGGCAGAUGUGACAUCCUCUCGGAACACACUUGUUGGUGGGCAGCAAAGUCGAAAGGCAAACCCCCACGAAACCUGGCUAACUUCUUUUUCUUUUUGACUUUCCAGACCUCAGUACCCAUCUGGAUACUUCAUUAGGGUCCUAAGACAUCUGGGGACCAGCGAUGGAAGAAACGUGCUUGUGUCGGGCGCCUAUCAUACGCCCGCACGGUGCUGAGCCCUUUCCAAUAUGGUAUCUCGGAUAGUCCCCCACCAAAAAAAAAAAAAAAGAAAAGAAAAGAAAACCUGCCAGAGUGGAACUAUCAUUUCCAUUUUAUGAAUGAGGAAACAGGCUCAGAGAGGCUGAGUGACCUACCCAAGGUCACACAGGUGGGAAAUAGCAGUUCCUGAAUUUGAACCAAGAUGAUGACAUUGUCAAGGGGCAGUUUGGGAGGUUUUCAUUGCGGCCCCAUCUCCGGCAGCAACGUCCUUCCCCAUGACAUCCCGCUCCCCCAAAUAAAUACACAGUCUGAGUAAGAAGAAUAUGCAGGGGACACGAUGACACUUUAGGGGUUCCCCUGCCUCCUCCCUUUCACAGAGAUGGCUGCCCCAAGCCCCUCUGCACAGACACCCUGGAGUCCCCACUAAAUCAAGAUCUGUCUGACUCUGAAGGACAGGUCCUCCCAAUACAACCGGAUGUCAGUUCUCUUCGAUGCCUACCAAGAAGACCUUUGCUUUGUUAAAACCUUUACGUACAAGAGCCAGUCAGUCAGCGUAGGAUUCCCCUAACGGAGACCCGAACCACAGAUUCCAGAAUUUCACCAGCCUACCCAAGGUCGCCAGCCCAUGAAAUGCCCCACACCUCUCAGGGAACAGUGAUGCAUCGCAUCCUGGCGGGGAGCACGGGCGUGAAGAAGCACAGCUUAGUGAUGUAGAUCAGAGUUUCCAUUUAUGUUGAAGCAUCUGCUGGCCAAGGUCCAGUUCAUUUUGGGUUCCAGCUAAAUUUAUUCGGCCUCAGGCGCCUGGGUGGCUCAGUCGGUUGAGCGUCUGACUUCAGCUCUGGUCGUGAUCUCCACAGUCCGUGGGUUCCAACCCCGCGUCGGGCUCUGUGCUGACAGCUCGGAGCCC
rnacentral:lncRNA from 1 species